CUAUAGUGACAGAUAAAUGUAUUAAAUUUAAGAUUUAAGUAUGAAAAUUAUUCCUUUAGAAA
rnacentral:tRNA from 1 species